GACGAACGCUGGCGGCGUGCUUAACACAUGCAAGUCGAACGGAAAGGCCCUGCUUGCAGGGUACUCGAGUGGCGAACGGGUGAGUAACACGUGGGUGAUCUGCCCUGCACUUCGGGAUAAGCCUUGGAAACUGGGUCUAUUACCGGAUAGGAGCCAUCUUUCGUGUGGUGGGUGGAAAGUUUUUUCGGUGUGGGAUGAGCUCGCGGCCUAUCAGCUUGUUGGUGGGGUAAUGGCCUACCAAGGCGGCGACGGGUAGCCGGCCUGAGAGGGUGGACGGCCACAUUGGGACUGAGAUACGGCCCAGACUCCUACGGGAGGCAGCAGUGGGGAAUAUUGCACAAUGGGCGGAAGCCUGAUGCAGCGACGCCGCGUGGGGGAUGACGGCCUUCGGGUUGUAAACUCCUUUCGCUAGGGACGAAGCUUUUGUGACGGUACCUAGAUAAGAAGCACCGGCUAACUACGUG
rnacentral:rRNA from 1 species